CCUCCAUCCAAUCAACUUUCUGCGAUGAUGGAAAGGUUCUUUAUCUGUGCUAUCCAAUAGUAGCCACCAGCCACAUGUGGUUACUGAGCACUUGAAAUGUGGCUAGUGUG